CAGUCGCCGCGGUAUACGGAGGGUGCAAGCGUUAAUCGGAAUUACUGGGCGUAAAGCGCACGCAGGCGGUCUGACAAGUCAGAUGUGAAAUCCCCGGGCUUAACCUGGGAACUGCAUUUGAAACUGUCAGGCUGGAGUCUUGUAGAGGGGGGUGGAAUUCCAGGUGUAGCGGUGAAAUGCGUAGAGAUCUGGAGGAAUACCGGUGGCGAAGGCGGCCCCCUGGACAAAGACUGACGCUCAGGUGCGAAAGCGUGGGGAGCAAACAGGAUUAGAUACCCGGGUAGUCCCUGUCUCUUAUACA
rnacentral:rRNA from 1 species